UACAGAGGCCCCGAGCGUUAGGCGGAAUCACUGGGCUUAAAGCGUGUGUAGGUGGAUGCCUAAGUACCUUGUGAAAUCCCACGGCUUAACCGUGGAAUUGCUGGGUAUACUGGGUGUCUUGAGCCACUCAGGGGCUACCGGGAACAAAUGGUGGAGCGGGUGAAAUGCGUAGAUAUCAUUUGGAACGCCAAUGGUGAAAACAGGUAGCUGGGGGUGUGCUGACACUGAGACACGAAAGCCAGGGGAGCAAACGGG
rnacentral:rRNA from 1 species